rnacentral:ncRNA from 1 species
UCGGCUCCGGUUCACGCCGUGGGCAAUUCCGCCCCCUGCGACCCGGCGCC